rnacentral:rRNA from 1 species
ACACGUAUGAAAGUCAAGCUGAAAGACUUUACUCAAUGAUGUAAGUGGUGGUGCAUGGCCGUUCUUAGUUCGUGGAUUGGUUUGUCUGGUUUAUUUCGAUAACGAGCGAGACCUCAGCGUUCCUAAUAGGGGUGAUAGCCCGGCCGGCCGCAAGGCCGGCUAGCUAACACUUAAGAUGUACUUCUUAGACGUAUCAGAGCCGAUAAGGUUCUUGAAAUGGGUUAAUAACAGGUCAGUGAUGCCCUUAGAUGUUCUGGGCCGCACGCGCGUUACAUUGGCAUGUAAAGCGCGUGCUGGCUAACAGUGAGACCCGGACCGAAAGGUCCCGGGGAAUCGCUUAGUCCCUGCCUAGACUGGGAUAGAUCUUUGAAAUUAUUGGUCUUAAACGAGGAAUUUUUAGUAAUCGCAGGUCAUUAGCCGCGAUGA